GACGAACGCUGGCGGCGCGCUUAACACAUGCAAGUCGAACGGAAAGGCCUGCUUUCCCUUGUGGAUUGCGGGUACUCGAGUGGCGAACGGGUGAGUAACACGUGAGUGAUCUGCCCCCAACUUGGGGAUAAGCCUGGGAAACUGGGUCUAAUUCCCGAUAGGACUGCAGGGUGGUGCCUGUGGUGGAAAACGAUUUUCUAGUGGUUGGGGAUGAGCUCGCGGCCUAUCAGCUUGUUGGUGGGGUAAUGGCCUACCAAGGCGGCGACGGGUAGCCGGCCUGAGAGGGUGGACGGCCACAUUGGGACUGAGAUACGGCCCAGACUCCUACGGGAGGCAGCAGUGGGGAAUAUUGCACAAUGGGCGGAAGCCUGAUGCAGCGACGCCGCGUGGGGGAUGACGGCCUUCGGGUUGUAAACUCCUUUCGACCGCGAGGAAGCCACCUGGUUGGAAGGGUGGUGACGGUAGUGGUAGAAGAAGCACCGGCUAACUACGUG
rnacentral:rRNA from 1 species